rnacentral:rRNA from 1 species
UACGGAGGGUGCAAGCGUUGUCCGGAUUUAUUGGGUUUAAAGGGUGCGUAGGCGGGUUAAUAAGUCAGUGGUGAAAUUUUACGGCUCAACCGUAAGCGUGCCAUUGAUACUGUUAAUCUUGAGUAUGUUCGAGGUAUUUGGAAUGCGUAGUGUAGCGGUGAAAUGCAUAGAUAUUACGCAGAACACCAAUUGCGAAGGCAGAAUACUGGGACAUAACUGACGCUGAGGCACGAAAGCGUGGGGAGCGAACAGG